CCUUUGAUGGAUUUUAAAAUCCAUUGCUAGGCACCCACUGUAGCAAAUUAGUUUAUUUUAUCAUCUGUUUAUUCAUGUGCUGUCUGUCCUGGCCACUGGCUACAUGUUGUGCAUAAAUCCGGAGAAGUGCAAGAGGAACUACAAACAACCUAUGAAAAAUGGGGCACCCCAAUAUUCAUGGGGUCUGGAAAUACAGAUAAGGGAAAAGAGGGUCGAUAUCUUCAUGCACAUACGCAGAAUGUUAAGUGUAGUCAGAAUCACAAAAUAAAAGAGGGCUCCCUGGUUGGGUAAAAUGGAAUGCCUAGGGGCAAAACCCCAACAGGAAUCAUCCCUUUAUUGAUGAUCAAUAGGUGAGGAAUCCAUCAGGAACGAAGAAUAUUUUUGAGAAUAUAAGUGAUGUCAGGACAUUCUAGGGAAGCAAGACCCAUUUGUCCUGAGAGUGCCUGCUUGGAGAGUAGACCUUACACAACUAGGCUUGCAGGCACUGCAAGUGAAGCCUUGCAAAUGGGUUAUGCAGGUACAUGUGGCCGUAUGACCUAGCAGUACCAGGUCAUCACCUGAGGGCUGCGUCAAACCUGGCUGAUAAGGUCACUCAUUGAAAGGAACCUGUUUUCAUGUAAGGAAAGUAGGGACAGAAAAGUAACAAGAUGAGUGAAAACAGUGAAACAAUUGUGAAACUGAAGAUUUUGAGAAUUCAGGCAGAAGAAAAAAAAAAAGACAUAGAAUUAAAACAAAUGGAGAUUAAUGCGCAAGAAGCUGCACACCGAAGAACCAUAGAAGCAGAGAAUGCCAGGCAAGAAGCUGCAUGCCAGAGAGCUAUGGAAUUAAAACAGAUAGGGGCUGACAAAGAAAUUAAGAUCCAGAAGUUAGCCAUGUAGGAGAGAGAGAGAGAGAGAGCGAGCACGCGAGCACACCAACUGG